UAGGGAAUCUUCGGCAAUGGACGGAAGUCUGACCGAGCAACGCCGCGUGAGUGAAGAAGGUUUUCGGAUCGUAAAGCUCUGUUGUAAGAGAAGAACGAGUGUGAGAGUGGAAAGUUCACACUGUGACGGUAUCUUACCAGAAAGGGACGGCUAACUACGUGCCAGCAGCCGCGGUAAUACGUAGGUCCCGAGCGUUGUCCGGAUUUAUUGGGCGUAAAGCGAGCGCAGGCGGUUAGAUAAGUCUGAAGUUAAAGGCUGUGGCUUAACCAUAGUACGCUUUGGAAACUGUUUAACUUGAGUGCAAGAGGGGAGAGUGGAAUUCCAUGUGUAGCGGUGAAAUGCGUAGAUAUAUGGAGGAACACCGGUGGCGAAAGCGGCUCUCUGGCUUGUAACUGACGCUGAGGCUCGAAAGCGUGGGGAGCAAACAGGAUUAGAUACCCUGGUAGUCCACGCCGUAAACGAUGAGUGCUAGGUGUUAGACCCUUUCCGGGGUUUAGUGCCGCAGCUAACGCAAUUAAGGCACUCCGCCUGGGGAGUACGACCGCAAGGUUG
rnacentral:rRNA from 1 species